GUGCGUCUAGGUGGGGAGUUAGCGGUGUCCUGUAUCCGAAAUCCGCUUAUGCGGGACUGAAUGCCCGAUUUGAGGGAUAGUUUUUCCACGGAAAGAGAGUGUCCAGAGGAUGCUGAUGGUCGGCAGCUGCGCAACGGUACGCCGUGAACUGGGUCAGGCCUUGACCGGAGCAGCCCUAAGCAGUUGUCUCGUGUGCCGCAGUCCAAGCUGGCCUGAGUCUGAUGGCACUAGGUCGCUGAGGAAUACUAUUUCGAUGUCGGGGACGCAC
rnacentral:SRP_RNA from 1 species